CAGGCCUAACACAUGCAAGUCGUACGAGAAAAUUUCCUUCGGGAAAUGAGUAAAGUGGCGCACGGGUGAGUAACACGUGGGUAAUUUACCUUUGAGUCUGGGAUAACCUCGGGAAACCGGGGCUAAUGCCGGAUAAGACCACGCAACACAAGUCGCGUGGUAAAAGCUUGCCUCUGACGCAAGCAAGCGCUCAUAGAUAAGCCCGCGGCUCAUUAGCUUGUUGGCGGGGUAACGGCCCACCAAGGCUUCGAUGGGUAGCCGGCUUGAGAGGGUGAUCGGCCACAUUGGCACUGAAACACGGGCCAAACUCCUACGGGAGGCAGCAGUGAGGAAUAUUGCGCAAUGGGCGAAAGCCUGACGCAGCAACGCCGCGUGAGCGAUGAAGGCCUUCGGGUUGUAAAGCUCUGUCAGCGGAGACGAACACCUCCGAGGUAAAUAGCCUCGGAGACUGACGGUACCCGCAAAGGAAGCCCCGGCUAACUUCGUGCCAGCAGCCGCGGUAAU
rnacentral:rRNA from 1 species